rnacentral:rRNA from 1 species
UGAGGAAUAUUGGUCAAUGGGCGCAAGCCUGAACCAGCCAUGCCGCGUGAAGGAUGAAGGUUCUAUGGAUUGUAAACUUCUUUUAUUGGGGAAUAAACCUCGGGACGUGUCCCGAGCUGAAGGUACCCAAUGAAUAAGCACCGGCUAACUCCGUGCCAGCAGCCGCGGUAAUACGGAGGGUGCAAGCGUUAUCCGGAAUCAUUGGGUUUAAAGGGUCCGCAGGCGGACUUAUAAGUCAGUGGUGAAAUCUCACAGCUCAACUGUGAAACUGCCAUUGAUACUGUAAGUCUUGAAUUCGGUCGAAGUGGGCGGAAUGUGACAUGUAGCGGUGAAAUGCUUAGAUAUGUCCCAGAACACCGAUAGCGAAGGCAGCUCACUAGGCCUGGAUUGACGCUCAGGGACGAAAGCGUGGGGAGCAAACAG